rnacentral:lncRNA from 1 species
AGCUAAUCAGUCCCUGCUGUGGUAUUUAGACUACCUCAGUUACUGGCAUAGGAUAAUGUUAAGCGUAUUAAAAACAUCUGUAGGUGAAAUGAGGGAUCCCCAGUCUGUUUUACUCAAUUGUAAGCACUAUCCUUUAACAGAACCACUUUCUUGCUUCUGGAGGCCGUGACUUUCUUUUAGUACAUGUGGUAUACUAGUGGAAGCUCUGUCCAGCCUCGAAGAUGGCAAUGUGUGGAUGGAGGAUGUCAGCAGUUUGGAUACCACCCGAUGGAGCAGCUCUGCACUAGCACAGGUUUGGGGGCAAAGUCUCUUUGUCCCUGCCAACUACCAUCACUUACUUGUAUGGUUGACAGAAAACAAAAACAGAUUAAAACAAAAUUGAUAACAUGAGCACAGUUCCCAUGAGAUUUAAAAUUGCAGACCGAGUCAUUGGAAGGAAUACCAAGCAUAAAACAUUUCUGUAUUUAACAGCACGUGUCAAAAAUAAUAACCACUACCUAAGAUGAAAAAUGGGGGCGGUUUGCUCCCCACGGUCCCCAUGGCCAAAUUGUCUCAAACCAGUUCUGUUUCAAGUUGGAGCCAUAUUGGUUUGGCCCAGUUUCAGUCAGAACUCAGCUGAAGAUGUUUUCCAAACUUGAACACCCCCAUUUCAUCACCUACGCUUCCUGCAAACUGGAUUCACAACUAAACAAUAAUCACAGAUAAAACGUGUUUUUAGAUUAGAUAAGAUCAGCAGCACCUGAUCUUAUCUAUAUAGAAAUUCCAAAUACUGUAUCUUUGGAAUUAGCAUACACUGANUGAUUGACUGAUUGAUUGAUUGGCAUUUUUAUCCCGCCCUAUAUCCAAAGGUCUCAGGGUGGGUUACAAUUAAAACAACAACAACAACAAAACGUAAAAGGCACGCAACAAAGCAGUAGCCUGAAAGUUGGGAAUUUUCCACAAAAUGCCUCACUAAAAGAAAAUAUUGAGCUGCACAGAGGAAUGAUAUGAACCUAAACUGAGUUUCCCAAAACAGGGCAUCCUUACAGGCAUGACAGUUAUGAAAAAUACAGCAAGAAUUGUCAUACAGGAAGUAGUAAACACAUAGUUUAAAUAAUUAAUUAAAAUGGAGCUGGGCAG